rnacentral:lncRNA from 1 species
UUUUAUUCAAGCUUAUGGUUAAUCAUUGCUGAUUGCCAUGAAAAUUGUACUCUGUACAUCUUGCAUGUAUAAGUCAGGUAUGAAAGGCUGAUCACCUUCAUUACCAGUUGGUUCAGAAAUGUUUGUUCAUGUUUAAAACUUGUUCAGUCAAAAGUUUGUUCCUGCUAGUUCUCAAUUAUAUUGAUGAAUUAUAGCCAGCUUAUUAUUCAUACUCUUCAAUCAUGAUAUAUCGUUAUAUUGUUGUAUUUAAACUUGCUGGGCAACUUUCAUGCUCACCCUUGCUAUAUCAUUAUAAAACAUUGCAGACAAG